UGGUGGCGCAUGUCUGUAAUCCCAGCUACUCGGGAAGCUGAGGCAGGAGAAUCGCUUGAACCCAGGAAGCGGAGGUUGCAGUGAGCCGAGAUCGCGCCACUGCACUCCAACCUGGGCAACAAUACAAGACUCCAUCUGAAAAAAAAAAGAUCACACAGGAAAACAGAAGUUCGAUUUUACGUCGUACACUGCUGUAAUUUCAGCACAUGUGGACUCGUGUAACCAACACCAUAACCUUCCAUCACCCCUGAAACUCCCUCCCGCCAGCCCUUUAGGGUUGCCCCUCCCCCCGAACCCCACCAGCCCCUGGUGACCACUGAUCUGUCCUCCAACCCAUAGUGUUUUUCCGGGAAUGUCACAAAAACAGAAGCCGACCAUGGGUCACCUUUCUGGCGCCUUUCUCCCCGCACAAAGUCUUUGUCCUUGUGAAGUUGUCACGUGCCAAACGCUUGUCCCUUUUUCCUGCUGGGUAAUACUCCCGGUGCCGCCCUUGCUGUUCGUCGAUGCACAUCUGGCUGCUUUUCGCUGGCUGCGAGCGGAGCUGCUAGGGACAUGGCCACGGGGCUGUGAGAGCGGAGUUUCCUCUCUCCGGUGACCCUGAGCUGCGCCUUUCUCAGCCGCCUCCCGAGGCCCCAGGCGCUCUGCGGGGGCUCUGGCGGGGUUGGUGGGGGUGGGCGUUCUCGUUGUUUCAGCGGCGCUGCCCCAGGCCCUGCGGGAGGGACCGUGGGACCCGAGACAUCCCCGCCUGGCCUCCGCUCCCCACCCGGGAGUGGGGCUCGCACCCCCCCAACCUCGGGUAAAGACGCUUCUGGAAGGAAGGGCGCCCCGCGGACCCCGCCCAACCCUGCCCAGCCCAGCCCAGCCCAGCCCAGCCCUUCCCGGGGCGGCGGCGCGGGAAGCAGGCGGCGGCGCACGGGCGUCGUCAUGGCAACCCCACCGGCUCCGGGGGCCGGGACCGCUGCCCCCUCCGCCCCUCGACCCCCGCCCCCCCGCCCUUCCUGGCUGCGGCUGGACCCGGCUGCGCGGGGCGCGAGGCUGCCUUUCCCGGGAUCACCAGGGACCACCCGGCGCGCUCCCCGGGAAUCCGCACCCCUGGCCCCAGCGCUCCGGAGCGACCCGGGUCAGCCCCUGGCUGCCUGCAAUGGGCCCCCGGGCGAACCCCGGGCGGACCCAGGAGUGAGCACCCGGUGCGCGGCAACGAUGAUCCCGCAAGGGAAGCUCACGGGAGGCAGGAGCUGUGGCAGCCGCCCCAGGAUGGGGCGCGGGGAGCGCGCUGAGCUGUCCUUUCCCGCAGCGGCCCCGCGGUUGAAGCGUGGGCUUGGGUUUUGGUUUUUCUUCUGUGGCAACAGUUCUGUUGAGAUAUUACUCGCCUGCCAUACAACUCACCCAUUUUAAAAGUACACCUCAGGGGUCCUGCGUGUAUUGACAAACCCGCCGCCGUCACCACAGCCAAUUUCAGAACAUUUUCAUCUCUUCAAAAGAAACCCUGUACCCUUCAGCUGUCACCCUCCUGGUCCCCAUCCGGUCCUCGUCCCGCCCUCAGCAGCCACGCACUGCCUGUAAAGUCCCCUGUCCUGCCCUGUAGGUGGAAUCUAUACCUUGGGGUCUGUUCUGACGUUCACCUAACAGCCUUUCCAGGCUCAGCUGUGCUAUUGUAUGGACCAGGGGGUUGUUUUGUUUUUGUUGUUUGUUGAUUGUGUGUGUGUGUGUGUGUGUGUGUGUGUGUGUGUGUGUGAGCCUGGCGUGGUUGCGGGCGCCUAUAAUCCCAGCUGCUCAGGAGGCUGAGGCAGGAGGAUCA
rnacentral:lncRNA from 1 species